CCUACGGGAGGCAGCAGUAGGGAAUCUUCCACAAUGGGCGAAAGCCUGAUGGAGCAACGCCGCGUGGGUGAAGAAGGUCUUCGGAUCGUAAAACCCUGUUGUUAGAGAAGAAAGUUCGUGAGAGUAACUGUUCACGUUUCGACGGUAUCUAACCAGAAAGCCACGGCUAACUACGUGCCAGCAGCCGCGGUAAUAAGUAGGUGGCAAGCGUUAUCCGGAUUGAUUGGGCUUAAAGGGAACGCAGGCGGUCUUUUAAGUCUGAUGUGAAAGCCUUCGGCUUAACCGGAGUAGUGCAUUGUAAACUGGGAGACUUGAGUGCAGAAGAGGAGAGUGGAACUCCAUGUGUAGCGGUGAAAUGCGUAGAUAUAUGGAAGAACACCAGUGGCGAAAGCAGCUCUCUGGUCUGUAACUGACGCUGAGGUUCGAAAGCGUGGGUAGCAAACAGGAUUAGAUACCCUUGUAGUC
rnacentral:rRNA from 1 species